AAAGGCUUAGGUUCAACAAGACCAAAGGCCUUCAAAGCCUUAAGUAGAUGUUAAAUCAUCUAGCCUUUG
rnacentral:tRNA from 1 species